rnacentral:rRNA from 1 species
GAAGUAACGUUGGCGGCGUGGACCAGGCAUGCAAAGUCGCACGAGAAGUCUUCUUUGCUUGCAUUAGAGGACGGAAAGUGGGAAAGGGAGAGUAACGCGUGGAUAACCUGCCCUCGGGUCUGGGAUAGCUGCGGGAAACCGCAGGUAAUACCGGAUAACGUCCCCGGACCAAAGGUGCGAUUCCGCCUGAGGAUGGGUCCGCGUCCUAUUAGCUUGUAGGUGAGGUAACGGCUUACCAAGGCAAAGAUGGGUAGCGGGUGUGAGAGCAUGACCCGUCUCACUGGGACUGAGACACUGCCCAGACACCUACGGGUGGCUGCAGUCGAGAAUCUUCCGCAAUGGACGAAAGUCUGACGGAGCGACGCCGCGUGCGGGAUGAAGGCCUUCGGGUUGUAAACCGCUGUCAGAUGGGAGGAAAUGCAUAGGGGUACUCUCCUAUGUUAGACCGAUCUUCAGAGGAAGUCCGGGCUCAGUUCGUGCCAGCAGCCGCGGUAAGACGAACCGGACGAACGUUAUUCGGAAUCACUGGGCUUCAAGAGUGCGUAAGCGGCUAUGAAGGUAGGGUGUGAAAUCCCAAGAUCACUGUGGAAAUGCGCUCAAAAACACAGGG